GGUCGGGUGCCGCAGGUCGGGAGGAUCCACUGGAGGGCUUGCACUUACCUCUCUGCUGACCUUGAACAGAUUCCAUAAAAUUCAAAAUAAUGAUUGUCACUAUACUGGAUGGACUGCUGAACUAUUGAAUUACUUCCAUCUUUUAACCACACUAGGAAAUCAUCCAAGGAGUUGAAAUAUUUAUUGCAGUAAUUUCUGACCUUACAUACUUGAGGUUGAAUGCGUUUGGGAACUUGAUGCAUAAAAUUUGCAUGACUCCUCACUCCUUUCUGGAUCUGUCAUUGGAUUCAAGCCAACAUGGCUCACACCACAAAGGUUAACGGCUGUGCCUCAGG
rnacentral:lncRNA from 1 species